GGACAGGGCAAGGGCUCGCAAGGCCCUACUUCUGAUUGAGGAGCUACAGGCAGUCCAUGGCUGCUGAUGGUGGGUCAGUGGUUGCUAAAAUGUGGCCCAUGUCCUAGUGGAUGACCCUACAACCAUAUGCAUAUGAGAAAAGUUAACUGAAUUUGGUAAAAAAAAAAAAAAAAAAAAAAAAAAAAAAAAAAACAUAGCCCCAAAAGGCAUGUCAUUCCAGGGAUGAGUAAAUGGAGAGUUGUGGAAGGAGCUUGGGUUAGUUAGCUUCAGGACUGGGAUGAGUCACCAGGGAGAAUUUAGCUCUUGGGUUUAUGAAAUUGAGAAAUCCCAAAUCCCUUUUGGAAAACUGCCAUGAUUGUCUAAAUAGGACUCUGAUGUAGAUAACAGCAGUCCACUCUGAUAAGAAAGAAAAUAAGCCGAACACAAUAGGGUCUUUCUGAACUACACUGCCCGGGCUUAGGCUGGAUGUCUUGAUCAUUGCUCAAGCUUUGGAAAUCCAGUCCUCUCUCCUCCUCCCCUCCCCUCCCCUCCUCUCCUCUCCUCUCCUCUCCUCUCCUCUCCUCUCCUCUCCUCUCUUCUCCUCCCCUCUCCUCUCGCCUCCCCUCCCCUCUCCUCUGUUCUGCUCUGCUCCUCUCCUUCUCAUACCCCCAUCCCUCCCUUCUGUUCAGCCCUACCCCUUUAUUUUCUAUUCUCUACAGACACCCACAUCCCUCUGUGGAAAAGUUAGCUUUCAGUUCUCCACAACCAGCCUACAACUCUGAAGCAGAAGCAGAAGCAGCAGCAGCAGCAGCAGCAGCAGCAGCAGCAGCAGCAGCAGCAGCAGAAGCCUGAAACCACAGUGAUUUGGAGAAAAGGAGGCUUAGGUAAAGCCUGAGCCGAUGAUCACACUCAAGUGGAAAACCACCGAUGAACUAAGCCAUCUGAAUGCUGAGAGAGACAAAGUGAGUGAAGGAGAAUCCACAAGAAUGCCAAGGUUCCCAUUUGAACAGAGCAAAUAUAGAAACAUGAAGAAGUUGGUGACUCGCAGGUCAGCAUGCAGUGGCACACAGGUCGACGUGCAGUGGCAUGGGAGGUUUUCCUCUGACCCACUGGAGGAAGUUACAAGCGUGUGAAGAACUUGGCCUGGAUACAUCACUUUCACUAGAAUGUGUACACACAGAUGAUAUGGGUUAGACGGGGACCUGUUCAUCAGGAGGUAUGUACAGGACUUUGUGAAGGUUUCAGCAAGGCCCUACUUGGGGAUCCCAGCUUUCCUGCAACAGGAAAUCCUCAAACUUGCUUGUUUAUCUUCAGAGAAAGGGUCUCGUGGCUGGUCUCAAAAGAAUUCUCUAUCUAGCCAAGGGUGACUUUGAACUUCUAGUCUUCCUGUCUCCACCUCCAGAGUGCUGGGAUCAUGGGCAUAUGCCAUCACCUGUUUUUAUGUGGUUCUGGGGACCCAACACAGGUCUUCCCUCAUGCUAGGUACACACUCUACCAAGUGAGCUAUAUCUCCAGGCCAGAAAAUCAUUAAUUUUUCAUGUUAUUUUAUUACAGAUAACACGUUAAAAAAAAAACUCAUGAGCAGUAAAAUGAUUUACUAAAUAAUUUUUAGUUUCUUCCAAAUUCUCUAAAUUACUAACCUGAAAAAAGUUAGUAGGAAUAAAGGCAUGUAUUCUUGGGUCUGCAUGGCAUAUUUAAUUUACACGUGACAUUGAAGGCAAUUUAAAGGAAUACUUCUUUUCAAAAAGGAAGCAACUGGGGCUGGAAAGAUGGCUCAGCAGUUAAGAGCACUGGCUGCUCUUGCAGAAGAGUCCGGUUGGUUCCCAGCACCCACAUGGCAACUCACAUCAUUCCUAACUCCAAUCCCUGGGGAAUCCAACACCCUCUUCUGGCCUCUGCCGGCACUGCAUGCACAUGGUAAACUAAUGCAGGCAAAACACUCAUACACAUGGGAUAAAUAAAUGUAAAAAUACUUUAAAGAGAGGCAACUGCUUACAAGAACAUCUACAAAGAUCUCUUGAAGUUUGCAAGCAUUUUAACUGUACCUAAAGAUGCUCCAUUUUUCUAUACCAUUUAUUCCUUUUGCAGCCAAAGGAGACCAUUUCGGAGAUCUGCAACUGAUCAAAAUGCAAAGAACAACUGACCAUCAGGUGCCCAGCCCCAGCUGACACACCUGUAACACAACUCCUGCACCUAAUACUCAGGGAACAUCAUGGAAGAUAGAUCAGAAAGACUGUAAGAGCCAGAGGACCUGUGUAACAGGAGGUCUACUGUAAGAUCCUGUUUCUUCAUAUGUAACAGGAGAUCUACUGUAAGAUCCUGUUUCUUCAUAUGUAACAGGAGAUCUACUGUAAGAUCCUGUUUCUUCAUAUGUAACAAGAGGUCUAUUAUAAGAUCCUGUUUUUUUAUAUGUAACAGGAGGUUUACUGUAAGAUCCUGUUUCUUCACAUGUAACAAGAGGUCUACUGUAAGAUCCUGUUUCUUCAUAUGUAAAGGGGAGCUGCAGUCAUGAAAUCUCAAUAUACGACUGCUUCAGCAAGACCUGGACAAUGACAAUACCAUUUGAUAUGCCAUGUGGGACCACUUCUAGAGGAAGAACUUCAGGCAAUUAACAGUUCCUGAGAGAUUUAUCUUCUCCAAAGAUGAACUCCCUGAAAGGCUACCCAAUCCCCAUGUCAGUCCUAAAAACAUAUGCAUACAAGCCACACUAAAUGCAAUCAACUGGUUUCUUGUGUACACAUAUACAUGUAUGUAUAUACACAUACUAUGUAUGUAUAUACAGUAUAUGUGCACAUGUAACACACAUUACAACAAUAAAGAAUAAGAAGCCAUGAAUUUGUGGAGUAAGGUAAAACAUGGGAGAAACUGGAGGGCAGAAAUGAUGUAAAUAUGUUUUAAUUUAAAAGAUUAAAGACAACAACCACAACCACAAUAAAGCGAUUACUUGAAGGAACUCCUAUAAGCUAUCUCAUGAAGUUUGUAAGCGUUUCCAUCAUACCUAUAAAUAGUCAGAUUUUUACAGCCUUCAUUCCAUCUUUCCCAGAAAAGCACUUCUGCUACCUUCCCCACCCUUCGCAUCACUCUAGGAGAUGUCACAAUGGAAAGAGAUACCUGAGAUGAUUUCAACUUUCACUGUAAGGAUUUUUUUAAAGUCUUUGCCUAAAGUGUCUCCAUAGAAAGCCUAGAGUAAAGAUGGAAAACAGAGAGCACAAACACAUCACAUCGGGAACGGUUAGUGGGCAGACACAGAGUGGACCAGUCUGGGAUGACACAGCAUCAGACAACAGCAGAAACACAUCCAGAUAACUUCCAACUCUAGGUACUCUGCCAGAGUCAAGCAGCCUAACCCAUGAACACUGAGGGUCAACCUUGC
rnacentral:lncRNA from 1 species